rnacentral:rRNA from 1 species
CCUACGGGUGGCAGCAGUGAGGAAUAUUGGUCAAUGGACGAGAGUCUGAACCAGCCAAGUAGCGUGAAGGAUGACUGCCCUAUGGGUUGUAAACUUCUUUUAUAGGGGAAUAAAGUGAGGAACGUGUGCGUUUUUGUAUGUACCAUAUGAAUAAGCAUCGGCUAACUCCGUGCCAGCAGCCGCGGUAAUACGGAGGAUGCGAGCGUUAUCCGGAUUUAUUGGGUUUAAAGGGUGCGUAGGUGGUUUAUUAAGUCAGCGGUGCAAGUUUGUGGCUCAACCGGAAAAUUUCCGUUGAAACUGGUUGACUUUCGUAUAUUUGAGGUAGGCGGACUGCGUGGUGUAGCGGUGACCUGCUUCGCUAUCACGC